rnacentral:rRNA from 1 species
AUGGCUACUCCCGCCGCCGCCGCCGUGACGCUCGCGGGCAAGGGCGCCGUGCUCACCCCCGCCGCCGUCUACGCGCUCUCCGUCGGCCUCGCCGACCCCGUCAUCGACGCCUCCGCGCUCCAGAGGCUCUCCAGCCGCGCCCCCUCCCCGCAGGAGACCCCUGGAUCGCUCCGGGACCUGGAUUUGGCGCCGCACGAGUCCCGCGCGGCCGCGGCGGUGCUUCUCAACAAGCUCCUCCUGACGGCGAAUGACUCCUCCUCCGCGCUCGUCACCGCCGCGACGGCCAACGCCCUCGCCGGGUCGCUCGAGCUCGCAGCGGCGCUGCCACCCGCCACCCGCGACGAGGCCGCCGUCGCCGCGGCGUCCGCGCCGGUGGCCGUCGCCUUCGCCGCAUUGAUCGACUGCUGCGCCACCCCUCUUGCCCGUGUCGCCGACGCCCUCGCGGCGCUGUCAUGUGAGGCCGCGCGGGGGGGCGCCACGGCGUUCGACGUGCCCGCGUCCGGCGACGGCCUCUCCGACAAGGACGAGGCUGAUGUGGGCGCUGAUAUCAAGAUGCUCUUAUUGGGGUCCAAGCUAGUGGGCAACGGUGGAGACGCCUCUGCGGCCAUGUUUGCCAAGGUGCCUGCUGUCAACGGAGCUCUCCGCGAGUCUGUGCGCGCACUGCACAAGAAGGUGAGGGUUGAGCUUAAUGCUCCAGUGAAGCUGGGGAAGAGGGAUGCUAGUGGAACGGGUGAGGGGAAGGAGGAGGCGUUGGUGGUACUGGCGACACAGCUUGCAAGGUCGUUGAAUGCAAUGUGCAAACAGAGCGUCGCUCGCGCAAGGUUCUGUGCAGGGAGCAUUGCUGAGGCCGAGCUCCGGGAGAAGCUUGCCGGUGGCGUUAAUGUUGAUGAUUUGAAGGGGAUGCUCGAUAAAGUUAUGGUUGAUUCAGAUGCGGUGUCGGUAUUGCGGGAGGUGUACAACUACUUGCUCAAGUUUAGGGACUUCCUUGCAUGGGAGGCAGCUGUCGCGAUGGCUGUGAUUGAAAUGGACAGUUCAAUUGAGAAGCCUCAAGCUGGUGGGAAGAAUGAAGCUGGCAGUUCAGCGGAGAAGGCACAAGCUGGUGGGGAGAAAGUGAAGGGUGACAGGAAAAGCAAGAAGAAAACGUUGGGGAAGGGAACUUCUGCUGUACUCGCUCUGCUUAGGGAGCAUGCUACAGAUGGAAAAGCCGUUGCUUGUGUGAAUUCUGCGUUGAUUGCAGAUUGGGGAAUUGAGCUGUCUCUGUUGUUUGAUCCUAAGUGCCCCAAAUUGGACUCCCUUGUGGAGAAAGUCAAGGAGAUUGUGGAGAGCAAUGAAGUAGGAAGAUUGCCUAAAAUUCCCAAGGGAACACGUGACUUUGGGAGAGAGCAAAUGGCCAUAAGGGAGCGCGCGUUUUCAAUAAUUACAAGUGUAUUUAAGAUGCACGGUGGUGUUGCACUUGAUACCCCUGUAUUCGAGUUGAGAGAAACCUUGAUGGGCAAAUAUGGUGAAGACUCCAAGUUGGUAUAUGACCUUGCUGAUCAGGGUGGUGAGCUUUGUUCGUUGCGCUAUGAUCUGACUGUUCCAUUUGCCCGUUAUGUUGCCAUGAAUAACAUAAGUGCCAUCAAGAGAUACCAGAUAGCCAAAGUAUACAGGAGAGAUAACCCUUCAAAGGGAAGAUAUCGAGAAUUCUACCAGUGUGACUUCGACAUUGCCGGAGUAUAUGAGCCUAUGGAACCAGAUUUCGAGGUUGUCAAAGUUUUGACUGAAUUACUGGAUAAGUUGGAUAUUGGCGUCUAUGAGAUAAAGUUAAAUCACAGAAAGUUACUUGAUGGAAUGUUGGAGAUCUGUGGUGUGCCUGCUGAGAAAUUCAGAACAGUUUGCUCAAGUAUUGACAAGCUAGACAAACUAACCUUUGAAGAGGUGAAAAAAGAACUGGUGGAAGAGAAAGGUGUAUCAAAUGAAACCGCUGAAAAUAUUGGCAGUUUAGUGAAGACAAAAGGACCUCCACUAGAAGUUUUGCUAGAGUUGCGAAAGGAGGGCAGCAAGUUCAUGGAGAACGAGGGGUCUGUUGUUGCAUUAAAUGAGCUGGAGAUAUUAUUCAAAGCUCUAGAAAAAGCGAAUGCCCUUGACAGGAUAAGUUUUGAUUUAAGCCUUGCUAGAGGCCUUGAUUACUACACUGGUGUGAUAUAUGAAGCUGUGUUCAAGGGCGUCACACAGGUUGGCUCUAUUGCUGCUGGUGGCAGGUACGACAAGCUUGUCGGCAUGUUCAGCAACAAGCAAGUCCCUGCUGUUGGCGUCAGCCUUGGAAUAGAAAGAGUUUUUGCUAUCAUGGAGCAACAGGAGAAAGAAAAGAACCAGGUGAUCCGGGCCACCGAGACGGAGGUUUUGGUGUCGAUUCUGGGCAAGGACCUCAUAUUGGCCGCCGAGCUUGUGAACGAGCUGUGGAGUGCUGGGAUAAAGGCAGAGUUCAAGCUCACCACCAGGGUGCAGAACCACAUAAAGUAUGCGACGCAGACAGGCAUCCCGUGGAUGGUGCUGGUCGGCGAGUCCGAGUUGAGGGACGGGAAGGUGAAACUGAAGGACAUUAGGGCUAACCAGGAAGAGGAGGUUCCAAGGAAAGAUUUCGUUGAGGUGCUGAAGCAGAGAUUAUCUAACCCUUAG